rnacentral:rRNA from 1 species
CCAAUAGCGUAUAUUAAAGUUGUUGCAGUUAAAAAGCUCGUAGUUGAAUUUCGGGGUUAGUAGGUUGGUCAUGCCUCUGGUAUGUACUGGUCUCACUGAUUCCUCCUUCCUGAUGAGCCGUAAUGCCAUUAAUUUGGUGUUGCGGGGAAUUUGGACUGUUACUUUGAAAAAAUUAGAGUGUUUAAAGCAAGCUAACGCUUGAAUACAUUAGCAUGGAAUAAUGAAAUAGGACGUUCGAUCCUAUUUUGUUGGUUUCUAGGAUUGACGUAAUGAUUAAUAGGGAUAGUUGGGGGCAUUAGUAUUAAAGUGUCAGAGGUGAAAUUCUUGGAUUUAUUGAAGACUAACUACUGCGAAAGCAGUUGCCAAGGAUGUUUUCAUUAAUCAAGAACGAAAGUUAGGGGAUCGAAGACGAUCAGAUACCGUCGUAGGCUUAACCAUAAACUAUGCCGACUAGGGAUCGGAUGAUGUUAAUUUUUUAAUGACUCAUUCGGCGCCUUACGGGAAACCAAAGUGUUUGGUUC